GUUAGGUAUGCCCUUCACAAGGGAGACAUGAAAUAUGUGUCAGAGCUAUUAGGUCGGAACCAUCGUCUUAUUUUAAUGAUGGAAGACCAAGAAAGGUUUACUAGUGAGAGAAAUAGGCUGUCUGCUCCAAAGUCUUGUUUGUUGAAUCUUGCACCUAAGGAAGGUCUUUAUGAGAAUUGUUCAGUUUUGAUUGACAAGAGUGUUAUUCCCUGCAGAGUAAUAGUUGAUACAACAUAUAUUCAUUUGGAAUCCUAUGAGGUAGCUAGUUUUUCCUGUGUUACUUCUCAAGACUUAAAGAUAUUGGGUAUUGACUUUGGCGGUCCAAAGUUAGAAGGGGUUCAAAUUUUGUAAUUCAUUCCCG
rnacentral:misc_RNA from 1 species